rnacentral:lncRNA from 10 species
CGGGACCGCUGUGUACGACCGAUCUCCCCGGCGCCGCCUCCGCCAAGCCUCUGAAUCUGCCAGAAUGAUGGAGUGGACCAUAGUCCCUGAAGGUCAGGGACAUUGCCUAUGCUGAGCCUGCUGACAGGGCCUCGCAUAGAAUGGAUGCUCAGUAUUAAAGGAAUCGCUUAAUCCUGAAAGUCUUGUAGGAAGAUAUGGCGAGAAGUGGAGUCAAGAACACACCACGAUGGUGCAGAAAGGAAAAGCAUUGCGAUUUUUAUUGGAUUUGAAGAAAUAGUAAGGGGUCAGGCUGGGUGUGGUGGCGCACGCCUGUAAUCUCAGCACUUUGGGAGGCUGAGGCAGGUGGAUCACGAGGUCAGGCGUUCGAGACCAGCCUGGCCAACAUAGUGAAACCUUGUCUCUACUAAAAAUACAAAAAUUCUCCCGGUGUGGUGGCGCACGCCUUUAGUCCCAGCUACUUGG